GGUCAAGAAACUAAGGGCGCAAGGCGGAUGCCUUGGCACCAGGAGGCGAAGAAGGACGUGACAAGCAACGAAAACCUCGAGUAGGAGCAAAUAUCCAGUGACUCGGGGGAAUCCGAAUGGGGAAACCUACUAGACACACUCUAGUAUCCAUACGUAAAUACAUAGCGUAUGGAGGCGAAUGUUCUGAACUGAAACAUCUAAGUAGGAACAAGAAAAGAAAGAAAACUCGAUUCUCCAAGUAGCGGCGAGCGAACAGAGAGAAGCCCAUUAAAGUAAGACUAAACUGAUAGACAAAUCUUAUGGAAAGAAGAACCAAAGAAAGUAACAGUCUUGUAGUCGAAAUCAGAAUAGAGACACUUUAAGAAGAGUACCACGGAGCACGUGAAAUUCUGUGGGAAGAUAGGGGGACCACCCCCUAAGGCUAAAUACUACCUGGUGACCGAUAGCGAAUAGUACCGUGAGGGAAAGGUGAAAAGAACCCCGGGAGGGGAGUGAAAUAGAACCUGAAACCUUGCGCCUACAAGCAGACAGAGGAAGAAGACUUGUGUUGUAGACCCGAAACCGGGUGAUCUAUCCAUGGGCAGAGUGAAGGUAAAGUAAAAUUUACUGGAGGCUCGAACCGGGUAGCGUUUAAAAGCUAUCGGAUGACCUGUGGAUAGGGGUGAAAAGCCAAUCGAACUCGGAUAUAGCUGGUUCUCCUCGAAAUAGCUUUAGGGCUAGCCUUGUUUUAGAUUACAGGAGGUAGAGCACUGAAUAGUCUAGGGGAAGUAAUUCUACCGAAACUUAUCAAACUCCGAAUGCCUGAAAAUCGAUGAACAGGAGUCAGACCAUGAGGGAUAAGCUUCAUAGUCAAAAGGGAAACAGCCCAGACCACCAGUUAAGGUCCCAAAAUACAGAUUAAGUGGGAAAGGAUGUAAUACUACUCAGACAACCAGGAUGUUGGCUCAGAAGCAGCCAUACAUUUAAAGAGUGCGUAAUAGCUCACUGGUCAAGUGGUAAUGCGCCGAAGAUGAACGGGGCUAAAUCUGAUACCGAAACUGUGGGAUAGAAAAGCAAUUAUGCGAGAAGUAUGAAG
rnacentral:rRNA from 1 species